rnacentral:lncRNA from 1 species
AGAUGACAGAGCUGUGUCCAUGUGUGCAGUGAUCCAGCCUGCAGAGGAACCUGCUCAGGUGUAGCUUUGUGGCUACUGAUACUCCUGGGGUGGAAGCUGGGCCUGAUCCACCCACUGGAGCUGCAGUCACACCUUCCCCUUGCAAUUUAGAUCUGCCCUGAGGGAGCACAUGAGCUUUGAGUGCCCAUUCAAUUAAGUAGCUUUGUAGUACAAUUGUAGUAGAAAUAGAAAAAGUAACUUUCAGUGCUAGAUUCCCUUCUCAGUGGGAAUGCAGGUAGUGAACACUUGUAUAAAUCUAUUAGGAAGGGUCCUCAAUACCAUCCACCAUGAAACGUGCAUCCAAAACCACUUGAGACUUAGAAAUCUGAAUAGUGCAAGAAAAUUACAGUAGUUCCAUUCUUUCUUCAUCCUUUUGAAAAUGCAGGGGGAAAAGGAAAGGUUUCAGAUCAGGAAGAUGGCUGGGAGGCUGAGAAAGCUGUGUCUGUAGGUGUGUGUUGCUGGGGCAGGACAGAGGUGGUGUAGUUCAAAAGGCUGGCAAGUUUCAAUAAAAUGUUAUUUUGCUUUAGUGCACAGUGCUGGCAAGAAGAGAGGCUGUUUGUAGCAUCAAUUGUGUAACAUGUGAGAAAGGGGAGCUGUCAUCCUGGUGAACGUGAAGAAACAGGAUCUGAGUGCAGAGAGUGGCUGUGGCUGAGUUUGAACUGCGAUGCAGGGACAGGCAGCUCCUGUUCUGAUCUCUGCAUGUGCCUGAUCCACGGACAGAACGUGGCUUUUUCCAUUUCCUGGCUGGAGGAGUCAAACCAACACACCCCAAACUGUGGCAUGUGGUCUUACUGAACUCCUGACUUAUAGACCAAGCAGAUAAUGAAGAGAUGGGACACCCACAGCCUCUCACUGUCAGUAGCAGCAGUUACUCAUCAAGGUGGCCUGAAACAUCAAGGCAGCAAGAGGCUGAGGUUCUGUGGAUCUGCCAUCAGAUCAGCCUUGAACACUCAAAGAAAAAUCUGCCUGCUCUGAAUAUUGCCUGAGGAUUUAGAAAGGUCUUUCUUGGAAACAGAAGAACAAGAUGAAACAAUUAUCUGUAAAGCAUGGUAA